UACGUAGGGGGCAAGCGUUGUCCGGAUUUAUUGGGCGUAAAGAGCGUGUAGGCGGUUUGGUAGGUCCGCUGUGAAAACUCGAGGCUCAACCUCGAGACGCCGGUGGAAACCAUCAGACUAGAGUCCGGAAGAGGAGAGUGGAAUUCCUGGUGUAGCGGUGAAAUGCGCAGAUAUCAGGAAGAACACCCGUGGCUAAGGCGGCUCUCUAGUACGGUACUGACGCUGAGACGCGAAAGUGUGGGGAGCGAACAGG
rnacentral:rRNA from 1 species